AUACUGUUCCUAGUUUUUUUUUUAUAAAACUAGGAAUUUAUAAAAUACCGAAACGAAAUCGAAAAAUAGACGAAAUGUGUUGAUUCAGCAGAUGGACACUGAUUUUGUGAAAUCUUUAACUACUACUACUAAUACUAUUGCUGCUGCUGCUCCUGUUGUUGUUAAGCAAAAAGUUAUGUGAAUGUGUUAAG